UACGUAGGGUGCAAGCGUUGUCCGGAAUUAUUGGGCGUAAAGAGCGCGUAGGCGGUCCGAUAAGUCGGCUGUGAAAGUCCAGGGCUCAACCCUGGAACGCCGGCCGAUACUGUCGGACUAGAGUCCGGAAGAGGCAAGUGGAAUUCCCGGUGUAGCGGUGAAAUGCGCAGAUAUCGGGAGGAACACCAAUUGCGAAGGCAGCUUGCUGGGACGGUACUGACGCUGAGGCGCGAAAGCGUGGGGAGCAAACAGG
rnacentral:rRNA from 1 species